CAAUACCUGGUGGCGAGUGGCGCACGGGUGCGUAACGCGUAUGCAACCUACCCUUAACAGAGACAUAACCUGGCGAAAGCUGGGCUAAUAUCUCAUGAGGUUAUAGAGGGGCAUCCCUAAAUAAUCAAAGCAGCGAUGUGGUUAAGGAUGGGCAUGCGUCCCAUUAGCUAGUUGGUGAGGUAACGGCUCACCAAGGCGACGAUGGGUAGGGGUUCUGAGAGGAAGGUCCCCCACACUGGUACUGAGACACGGACCAGACUCCUACGGGAGGCAGCAGUAAGGAAUAUUGGGCAAUGGUCGGAAGACUGACCCAGCCAUGCCGCGUGCAGGAAGAAGGCCCCAUGGGUUGUAAACUGCUUUAGCCAGGGGCUAAACCUACCGAUGCGUUGGUAGCUGAAGGUACCUGGAGAAUAAGCAUCGGCUAACUCCGUGCCAGCAGCCGCGGUAAUACGGAGGAUGCGAGCGUUAUCCGGAUUUACUGGGUUUAAAGGGUGCGCAGGCGGUUGUUUAAGUCAGGGGUGAAAGCCCUAUGCUCAACAUAGGGAUUGCCUUUGAUACUGAACGGCUAGAGUGAAGAUGGAGUGGGUGGAAUGUGUUGUG
rnacentral:rRNA from 1 species